CAUGGCAACCCCAAAUGCCGCCGCCUGUGGGUUAGUCAUGUUGGUGGUGGGUUGGUUGCUUCUGGUUACAGUUGCGUUGGUUAACAACACCGCCUUGGUUACCCGUAGUUACCCAUUGAUGAUUUCUAAUUUGGACUGUGCCGUAUAUAUAUUGUCCUGGUCAUAGCAGGGUUGUCAGUGAGAUCCCUAGUCAGCUGUCAUGGUUGUCAUGAAGAUAGAGUAUGGAACCUCAGUUAUGAGGUUAGACUUUCACACGGAGGACAGGAGGAUACCUAGUCAGUUGUCAUGGAGAUACCUAGUCAGUUGUCAUGGAGAUACGGUGUGGAACCUCAGCUAUGAGGUUAGACUUUCACACGGAGGACAGGAGGAUACCUAGUCAGUUGUCAUGGAGAUACCUAGUCAGUUGUCAUGGAGAUACGGUGUGGAACCUCAGCUAUGAGGUUAGACUUUCACACGGAGGACAGGAGGAUAACUAAUCAGUUGUACAACUGAAUGCAUUCAACUGAAAUAUGUCUUCCACAUUUAACCCAAACCCCUUCUGAAUCAGCUUUAGCGUCUCGGGGGGAACUUUGGUCUGCUUUCCCUGAAGCUGGAGAGCCCGAGUGGGGUUUUACAGAGCUAGCCAGACAGAGCUAGCCAGACAUGGCUGCCAGACAGAGUUAGCCAGACAGAGCUAGCCAGACAUGGCUGCCAGACAUGGCUAGCCAGACAGACUACUAAAUAGGGUUGCAACAUUUCCGGGAAACUUUUCCAUAAUUCCCUGGUUUUCCAGGAAUCUUGGUUGGAGGAUUCCCGGAUGUCCAGCUAAUUCCCCCGUAAAUUCAAGGGAUCUUCUAACCAGGAUUUCUGGAAAACCAGGGAAUUUUGGGGAAGUUACCGUAAUUUUGCAACCUUAAGAAAAACAUAUGGAGAAUGUUUAGGAAUGGGCAGUUAUAGAGGACAGGAGGUUUAGUAAUGGGUAGUUAUAGAGGACAGGAGGUUUAGUAAUGGGUAGUUAUAGAGGACAGGAGGUUUAGUAAUGGGCAGUUAUAGAGGACAGGAGGUUUAGUAAUGGGCAGUCGUACAUAUAUCCUUGUGUUUCUGCCUAAACGUGCUGAUUAGGAAUAGAGGACAGGAGAUUUAGUAAUGGGUAGUUAUAGAGGACAGGAGGUUUAGUAAUGGGUAGUUAUAGAGGACAGGAGGUUUAGUAAUGGGCAGCAGUAUAUAUAUAUAUAUAUCCUUGUGUUUCUGCCUAAACGUGCUGUGUAGGAAUAGAGGACAGGAGGUUUAGUAAUGGGCAGUAGUAUAUAUAUAUCCUUGUGUUUCUGCCUAAACGUGCUGUGUAGGAAUAGAGGACAGGAGGUUUAGUAAUGGGCAGUAUUAUAUAUAUCCUUGUGUUUCUGCCUAAACGUGCUGUGUAGGAAUAGAGGACAGGAGGUUUAGUAAUGGGCAGUAGUAUAUAUAUCCUAGGUUUAGUAAUAAACGUGCUGUGUAGGAAUAGAGGACAGGAGGUUUAGUAAUGGGCAGUAGUAUAUAUAUCCUAGGUUUAGUAAUAAACGUGCUGUGUAGGAAUAGAGGACAGGAGGUUUAGUAAUGGGCAGUAGUAUAUAUAUAUCCUAGGUUAGUAAUAAACGUGCUGUGUAGGAAUAGAGCACAGGAGGUUAUGGAGGACAGGAGGUUUAGUAAUGGGCAGUAGUAUAUAUAUAUCCUAGGUUAGUAAUAAACGUGCUGUGUAGGAAUAGAGCACAGGAGGUUAUGGAGGACAGGAGGUUUAGUAAUGGGCAGUAGUAUAUAUAUAUCCUAGGUUAGUAAUAAACGUGCUGUGUAGGAAUAGAGCACAGGAGGUUAUGGAGGACAGGAGGUUUAGUAAUGGGCAGUAGUAUAUAUAUAUCCUAGGUUUAGUAAUAAACGUGCUGUGUAGGAAUAGAGCACAGGAGGUUAUGGAGGACAGGAGGUUUAGUAAUGGGCAGUAGUAUAUAUAUACGUGCUGUGUAGGAAUAGAGCACAGGAGGUUAUGGAGGACAGGAGGUUUAGUAAUGGGCAGUAGUAUAUAUAUCCUAGUG
ensembl:lncRNA